GGGCGUGUGGCUCAGUUGGUAGAGCGUUCGCUUAGCAUGCCUAAGUGCAUGCGAAAGGUCCUGGGUUCGAUUCCCAGCUCGUCCA
rfam:Myceliophthora thermophila ATCC 42464 chromosome 1, complete sequence.